rnacentral:rRNA from 1 species
CAAUAGCGUAUAUUAAAGUCGUUGCAGUUAAAAAGCUCGUAGUUGGAUUUCUGGUGGGAGCGAUCGGUCUGGCGCUUAGCGCGAGUACUUGCAUCGUCUCCGGCCAUCCUUGGGGAGAGUCUGUCUGGCAUUAAGUUGUCGGGCAGAGGAUCCUCAUCGUUUACUGUGAAAAAAUUAGAGUGUUCAAAGCAGGCUUAUGCCGUUGAAUAUAUUAGCAUGGAAUAAUAAGAUAGGACUUUGGUACUAUUUUGUUGGUUUGCGCACCAAAGUAAUGAUUAAUAGGGACAGUUGGGGGUAUUCGUAUUCCGUUGUCAGAGGUGAAAUUCUUGGAUUUACGGAAGACGAACUACUGCGAAAGCAUUUACCAAGGAUGUUUUCAUUAA